AGGGAUUCCCUCAGUAAGGGCGACUGAAAUGGGAAAAGCCCAGCGCAUAAGCUCGCUUUGCCCUUCACCGGGCGCGAGCGGUGUUGCGUUUCGGAGGGUCCGGCACGCCGCCUUACGACGCCUAAGUCAUGCUUGAAAGCGGCCACUACCCAUUGAGGGUGAAAGGCCCGUCUGGCGGAGCCCGUGAGGGCAUAAGUGAGGCGGUCGGAAAGGACCUUUCCGUAGAGUCGGGUUGCUUGAAAGUGCAGCCCAAAGCAGGUGGUAAACUCCAUCUAAGGCUAAAUAUGACCACGAGA
rnacentral:rRNA from 2 species